rnacentral:rRNA from 1 species
UCAAGUUACAAAGGGCGUAUGGUGGAUGCCCAGGCACUUAGAGCCGAAGAAGGACGCAGCGAGCGGCGAAACGCUCCGGGGAGUCGCAAGCAGACGUAGAUCCGGAGAUUUCCGAAUGGGGAAACCCGCUUAAGGUAAUACUUAAGCAUCCCAUGGUGAACACAUAGCCAUGAGGAGGGGAAACCGCGUGAACUGAAACAUCUAAGUAGCGCGAGGAGAAGAAAGAAAACAGGGUCUCCCAGCGGAGAGACUCCGCUGGGAAGGUAGUGUCGAUUUCCUAAGUAGCGGCGAGCGAAAAGGAAAGAGCCCAAACCAUCACCGCAGGUGAUGGGGUUUAGGACCACGAGAAGGUAUAUGGAGUGAAGCCGAACAGACCUGGGAAGGCAGGCCAAAGAAGGUGAAAGCCCUGUAGGCGUAAGCUUUAAAUACCGAGUGGGAUCCAGAGUACCACAGGAUAGGCAACCCGGUGGGAAGACGGGAGGACCAUCUCCCAAGGCUAAAUACUCCUAAGUGACCGAUAGCGCAAAGUACCGUGAGGGAAAGGUGAAAAGAACCCCGGGAGGGGAGUGAAAGAGAACCUGAAACCAUAUGUCCACAAGCAGUGGAAGUCCGGCACUCAACUGAACAUGUUAGAGAGAAGAAAAAAAGAACUAGCGUGUCCAGUUGAGAGCCGGACGACCACGUACUUUUUGUAGAACGGACCGGCGAGUUAUAGAUAUGCAGCGAGGUUAAGCGAAAGCGGAGCCGAAGCGAAAGCGAGUCUUAAGAGGGCGAAAGUUGCAUAUCAUAGACCCGAAACCGUGCGACCUACCCAUGAUCAGGGUGAAGCCGGAGUAAGAUCUGGUGGAGGCCCGAACCACGUUGACGUUGAAAAGUCAUGGGAUGAAUUGUGGGUAGCGGAGAAAUUCCAAUCGAGCUCGGAGAUAGCUGGUUCUCCCCGAAAUAGCUUUAGGGCUAGCCUCAGGGGUGAAAAUAUGGAGGUAGAGCACUGAAUGGACUAGGGGCCAAAAAGGUUACCGAACCCUAUCAAACUCCGAAUGCCAUAUUGAGAACCCUGGGAGUCAGACUACGAGUGAUAAGAUCCGUGGUCAAAAGGGAAACAGCCCAGACCGACAGCUAAGGUCCCAAAGAGCAUGUUAAGUGGAAAAGGAAGUAGGAUUUCCAAGACAACCAGGAUGUUGGCUUAGAAGCAGCCAUACAUUCAAAGAGUGCGUAAUAGCUCACUGGUCGAGAAAUCCCGCGCCGAAAAUAAACGGGGCUAAAACAUGCCACCGAAGCUACGGAUUCGAAAGAAUGGUAGGGGAGCGUACUGUACAGGGGGAAGGAUAAGCGUAAGCGAAUCUGGACAGUACAGUAGAGAGAAUGCCGGUAUAAGUAACGAGAGUAAGGCGAGAAACCUUACCGUCGAAAGCCUAAGGUUUCCUGGGGAAGGAUAAUCCGCCCAGGGUAAGUCGGGACCUAAGCCGAGGCGAAAGCGUAGGCGAUGGACAACCGGUAAUAAAUCCGGUACCACCGAAAUCCGUCAUAAGAGAAGCAAGGACGCAGCGAGAUAAGAAAAGCGUGCGGUUGGUAGAGCACGUCCAAGCAGCGACGAAAAGAGCUUUGAGUGAAGUACCAAAGCUCAUAAGAGCUGUGAAGGGGAGCCGAAAGGCGAAGUUUCGAAGGGGCUGCCAAGAAAAGUUGCUAUCGAGGAUAGAGGUGCCCGUACCAGAAACCGACACAGGUAGGCGAGGAGAGAAUCCAAAGACGAGCGGGAGAACCCUCAUUAAGGAACUCGGCAAAAAGACUCCGUAACUUCGGGAGAAGGAGUGCCGAAAGGCCGCAGAGAAGAGGCCCAAGCGACUGUUUACCAAAAACACAGGUUUCUGCUAAGUCGAAAGACGAAGUAUAGGAGCUGACGCCUGCCCGGUGCUGGAAGGUUAAGGGGAAGUGUCAGAUGAAAGUCGAAGCACAGAACUUAAGCCCCAGUAAACGGCGGCCGUAACUAUAACGGUCCUAAGGUAGCGAAAUUCCUUGUCGGGUAAGUUCCGACCUGCACGAAAGGCGUAACGACUUGGGCGCUGUCUUGAUGGGGGACCCGGUGAAAUUGUAGUACUCGUGAAGAUGCGAGUUACCCGCGACAGGACAGAAAGACCCCAUGGAGCUUUACUGCAGCUUGUCACUGAAUUUUAGUAAUAUCUGUACAGGAUAGGUGGGAGGCGGAGAAAGAUGGGCGCAAGCCUAUCUGGAGCCGACGUUGGGAUACCACCCUGAUAUUACCGAAAUUCUAACAUAUAAGCCGUAAGCCGGCAUAUGGACACUGACAGGCGGGCAGUUUGACUGGGGCGGUCGCCUCCCAAAGAGUAACGGAGGCGUCCAAAGGUUACCUCAGCGCGGAAGGAAAUCGCGCGUAAGAGUGCAAAGGCAGAAGGUAGCCUAACUGCGAGAAAGACAAUUCGAGCAGGGACGAAAGUCGGGCUUAGUGAUCCGGCGGUAGAGAAUGGUAUUGCCGUCGCUCAACGGAUAAAAGCUACCCUGGGGAUAACAGGCUGAUCUCCCCCAAGAGUCCACAUCGACGGGGAGGUUUGGCACCUCGAUGUCGGCUCAUCGCAUCCUGGGGCUGAAGUAGGUCCCAAGGGUUGGGCUGUUCGCCCAUUAAAGCGGUACGCGAGCUGGGUUCAGAACGUCGUGAGACAGUUCGGUCCCUAUCCGUCGCAGGCGUAGGAAAUUUGAGAGGAACUGCCCUUAGUACGAGAGGACCGGGGUGGACAAACCGAUGGUGUACCAGUUGCGAAGCCAUUCGCACAGCUGGGUAGCCAAGUUUGGAAGGGAUAAACGCUGAAAGCAUCUAAGCGUGAAACCCACCUCAAGAAAAGAUUUCCCAUCCGAAAGGAGUAAGACACCUUGGAGAAGACGAGGUAGAUAGGCCGGAGGUGUAAGAGUAGAAAUACUUUAAGCUGACCGGUACUAAUAAGUCGAGGACUUGACCAA